GCUUAUGAGGCAAGUUCAGUCUAGAGGGCAUGUUGGGGAUGACAUCAGAUCAGAUUCGGAAUCUGAAGAGGAACAUGAGGAUUAAUAUUUUUCAAGAACAUAACAUGAGGAUUGAUCAAACCACGUAGAUUCUGAAGAUCAAGAGGAACAUGAUGAUUAUCUGAACUGUUUCUGUUUUAUCUGCUUCCUUAUGUCAUAGAUCUGAUAUAUUAGCAUGCUGUGCCAUGUGUCUGAAUCAUUGAUCUGUCAUGCUUGUCCUUCUCCGGGUAAAAUUCACAGAUAGAUGUCAUGAGAGCAUUUUGCAUUUGUGUAAACUUAGGGCAAACUGUAUACUAUCCUUAUUUAAAAAAAGUGUAUAGUGUCACAUUGAUACAAUAUGUGA